AGUGAACGCUGGCGGUAGGCCUAACACAUGCAAGUCGAACGGCAGCACAGUAAGAGCUUGCUCUUACGGGUGGCGAGUGGCGGACGGGUGAGGAAUACAUCGGCAUCUACUUUUUCGUGGGGGAUAACGUAGGGAAACUUACGCUAAUACCGCAUACGACCUACGGGUGAAAGCAGGGGAUCUUCGGACCUUGCGCGAUUGAAUGAGCCGCUGUCGGAUUAGCUAGUUGGCGGGGUAAAGGCCCACCAAGGCGACGAUCCGUAGCUGGUCUGAGAGGAUGAUCAGCCACACUGGAACUGAGACACGGUCCAGACUCCUACGGGAGGCAGCAGUGGGGAAUAUUGGACAAUGGGCGAAGGCCUGAUCCAGCCAUACCGCGUGGGUGAAGAAGGCCUUCGGGUUGUAAAGCCCUUUUGUUGGGAAAGAAAAGCAGCAGGUUAAUACCCCGCUGUUCUGACGGUACCCAAAGAAUAAGCACCGGCUAACUUCGUG
rnacentral:rRNA from 1 species